GUGGGGAAUAUUCCGCAAUGGACGAAAGUCUGACGGAGCAACGCCGCGUGAGUGAUGAAGGUUUUCGGACUGUAAAGCUCUGUUGUUUAGGACGAAAGUGCCUGUUGCAAAUAGUUACAGGUAUUGACGGUACUGAACGAGGAAGCCACGGCUAACUACGUGCCAGCAGCCGCGGUAAUACGUAGGUGGCAAGCGUUGUCCGGAAUUAUUGGGCGUAAGGAGCAUGUAGGCGGGAAUCUAAGUCUGUUGUGAAAAUGCGGGGCUCAACCCCGUAUUGCGAUGGAAACUGGGUUUCUUGAGUGCAGGAGAGGAAAGGGGAAUUCCCAGUGUAGCGGUGAAAUGCGUAGAUAUUGGGAGGAACACCAGUGGCGAAGGCGCCUUUCUGGACUGUGUCUGACGCUGAGAUGCGAAAGCCAGGGUAGCGAACGGGAUUAGAAACCCCUGUAGUCC
rnacentral:rRNA from 1 species